CAAGUCGAACGGUUGUAGCAAUACAAUAGUGGCGAACGGGUGCGUAACACGUGGAUAAUCUGCCCUUUGGCGGGGGAUAUCGGUGGGAAACUGCCGGCAAUACCGCAUGUGGCCUACGGGGCUCCGAUCCUGUAGAAGAAAGGCGCUUCACGGCGCCGCCAAAGGAUGAGUCCGCGGCCCAUUAGCUAGUUGGUGAGAUAAUAGCCCACCAAGGCUGUGAUGGGUAGCCGAGCUGAGAGGUUGAUCGGCCACACUGGGACUGAGAUACGGCCCAGACACCUACGGGUGGCAGCAGUAGGGAAUAUUGGACAAUGGACGAAAGUCUGAUCCAGCAAUGCCGCGUGAGUGACGAAGGAUUUCGGUCUGUAAAGCUCUUUUCUGAGGGAAGAAAUGACACAAGAGGAAAUGCUCGUGUCUUGACGGUACCUCAGGAAUAAGGGACGGCUAACUCCGUGCCAGCAGCCGCGGUAAUACGGAGGUCCCAAGCGUUGUUCGGAAUUACUGGGCGUAAAGGGAGCGCAGGCGGACUGGCAAGUCUAAAGUGGAAUCCCGGGGCUCAACCUCGGAACUGCUUCGGAUACUAUCAGUCUUGAGUUCGUGAGAGGAAAGCGGAAUUCAGGGUGUAGCGGUGAAAUGCUUAGAUAUCCUGAGGAACACCAAUGGCGAAGGCAGCUUUCUGGCGCGAUACUGACGCUGAGGCUCGAAAGCGUGGGGAGCGAACGGGAUUAGAUACCCCGGUAGUCCACGCCGUAAACGUUGUGCGCUAGGUGUAGGAGGUAUCGACCCCUUCUGUGCCGCAGCUAACGCAUUAAGCGCACCGCCUGGGGAGUACGGUCGCAAGACUGAAACUCAAAGGAAUUGACGGGGGCCCGCACAAGCGGUGGAGCAUGUGGUUUAAUUCGAGGCA
rnacentral:rRNA from 1 species